rnacentral:rRNA from 1 species
UAUCCUAACCGUGCGAAGGUAGCGUAAUCACUUGUUCUUUAAAUGGGGACUAGUAUGAAUGGCACCACGAGGGUUAUACUGUCUCCCUUUUCCAAUCAGUGAAACUAAUCUCCCUGUGAAGAAGCAGGGAUAAAAAUAUAAGACGAGAAGACCCUAUGGAGCUUUAAAUUUCAAUUCAAAGCAUAGUGAAAUAGAAUUUUAGGUUGGGGUGACCGCGGAGUACAAAACAACCUCCACAUUGAACUAGGCCUAUUACCUUGAGCAACGAACUACAAUCCUAUGCACAAAAAAAUUUUCAUUCAUUGACCCAAUUUUUUUGAUCAACGAACCAAGUUACCCUAGGGAUAACAGCGCAAUCCUCUUCAAGAGCCCCUAUCGCCAAGAGGGUUUACGACCUCGAUGUUGGAUCAGGGUAUCCCAGUGGCGCAGCCGCUACUAAUGGUUCGUUUGUUCAACGAUUAAAACCCUACGUGAUU